UGGGGAAUAUUGCGCAAUGGGGGAAACCCUGACGCAGCAACGCCGCGUGAAGGAAGAAGGUUUUCGGAUUGUAAACUUCUUUUAAGAGGGACGAAGAAUGACGGUACCUCUUGAAUAAGCCACGGCUAACUACGUGCCAGCAGUCGCGGUAAUACGUAGGUGGCAAGCGUUGUCCGGAUUUACUGGGUGUAAAGGGCGAGUAGGCGGGAUAUCAAGUCAGAUGUGAAAUCUGGGGGCUCAACCCCCAAACUGCAUUUGAAACUGAUGUUCUUGAGUGAUGGAGAGGCAGGCGGAAUUCCCGGUGUAGCGGUGGAAUGCGUAGAUAUCGGGAGGAACACCAGUGGCGAAGGCGGCCUGCUGGACAUUAACUGACGCUGAGGAGCGAAAGCGUGGGGAGCAAACAGG
rnacentral:rRNA from 2 species